AUUGUGUCACCGACCAUAGGCAUGAACUGUGAACAAAGCAAAAGCAGCACUGUGACUGAAAACAGAAAAUUCUUGCAAGCAAUAGCGUCUGUCUUAGAACGAUGCAAUUAUAAGGUUAACAAAUAAUUGAACAAUCUAGGUGAAAUGUCAAAUACAUAAAAUACAAGUAAUGAAAAACAUACAGUAAGAUAUUAAUUGCAGAAGAUACAUAAUAAAUCAUAUAAUAACUGCAUAGAAUCAGAAAGAAAACACUUUUCCCAUAACACAGUGCAGUAUAAUGUGGACCUGAACAAACAGCGCCCCACUGCUAGUGUUGAGGAGAAAUGUAAAAGCUUACAGCACCUGGUAUUCCCAGGCGGUCUCCCAUCCAAGUACUAACCAGGCCCGACCCUGCUUAGCUUCCGAGAUCAGACGAGAUCGGGAGUGCUCAGGGUGGUAUGGCCGUAAGCGAGAGCAAAGCAUGACAGGAGCUCUUUUAAGCUUGGCAAGCCUCGCUGUUGCAUCUAUUUGCCUGAAUGUGGCGUUUAUAAAGGACUUAGAGCAUUUUGGGACGUACACAGAAGGUGGCCAUUUUGGCCUUAAACACAAUAUCCCCUUUUUUGUAUUUCGCUCUCCCUUUAAACAAAUAAAUAGAUAGAAGCCAAAAUCAUUACUUGUAUUGUGUCACCGACCAUAGGCAUGAACUGUGAACAAAGCAAAAGCAGCACUGUGACUGAAAACAGAAAAUUCUUGCAAGCAAUAGCGUCUGUCUUAGAACGAUGCAAUUAUAGAGUUAACAAAUAAUUGAACAAUCUAGGUGAAAUGUCAAAUACAUAAAAUACAAGUAAUGAAAAACAUAAGAUAUUAAUUGCAGAAGAUACAUAAUAAAUCAUAUAAUAACUGCAUAGAAUCAGAAAGAAAACACUUUUCCCAUAACACGGUGCAGUAUAUUGUGGACCUCAGCAAACAGCCCGCUCUGCUAGGUUUAAGGAGAAAAAAGCUUAGGUGCUGUAAGCUUUUACAUUUCUCCUCAACACUAGCAGAGCGGGCUGUUUGUUCAGGUCCACAUUAUACUGCACCGUGUUAUGGGAAAAGUGUUUUCUUUCUGAUUCUAUGCAGUUAUUAUAUGAUUUAUUAUGUAUCUUCUGCAAUUAAUAUCUUAUGUUUUUCAUUACUUGUAUUUUAUGUAUUUGACAUUUCACCUAGAUUGUUCAAUUAUUUGUUAACUCUAUAAUUGCAUCGUUCUAAGACAGACGCUAUUGCUUGCAAGAAUUUUCUGUUUUCAGUCACAGUGCUGCUUUUGCUUUGUUCACAGUUCAUGCCUAUGGUCGGUGACACAAUACAAGUAAUGAUUUUGGCUUCUAUCUAUUUAUUUGUUUAAAGGGAGAGCGAAAUACAAAAAAGGGGAUAUUGUGUUUAAGGCCAAAAUGGCCACCUUCUGUGUACGUCCCAAAAUGCUCUAAGUCCUUUAUAAACGCCACAUUCAGGCAAAUAGAUGCAACAGCGAGGCUUGCCAAGCUUAAAAGAGCUCCUGUCAUGCUUUGCUCUCGCUUACGGCCAUACCACCCUGAGCACGCCCGAUCUCGUCUGAUCUCGGAAGCUAAGCAGGGUCGGGCCUGGUUAGUACUUGGAUGGGAGACCGCCUGGGAAUACCAGGUGCUGUAAGCUUUUACAUUUCUCCUCAACACUAGCAGAGCGGGCUGUUUGUUCAGGUCCACAUUAUACUGCACCGUGUUAUGGGAAAAGUGUUUUCUUUCUGAUUCUAUGCAGUUAUUAUAUGAUUUAUUAUGUAUCUUCUGCAAUUAAUAUCUUAUGUUUUUCAUUACUUGUAUUUUAUGUAUUUGACAUUUCACCUAGAUUGUUCAAUUAUUUGUUAACUCUAUAAUUGCAUCGUUCUAAGACAGACGCUAUUGCUUGCAAGAAUUUUCUGUUUUCAGUCACAGUGCUGCUUUUGCUUUGUUCACAGUUCAUGCCUAUGGUCGGUGACACAAUACAAGUAAUGAUUUUGGCUUCUAUCUAUUUAUUUGUUUAAAGGGAGAGCGAAAUACAAAAAAGGGGAUAUUGUGUUUAAGGCCAAAAUGGCCACCUUCUGUGUACGUCCCAAAAUGCUCUAAGUCCUUUAUAAACGCCACAUUCAGGCAAAUAGAUGCAACAGCGAGGCUUGCCAAGCUUAAAAGAGCUCCUGUCAUGCUUUGCUCUCGCUUACGGCCAUACCACCCUGAGCACGCCCGAUC
ensembl:lncRNA